UAGGGGGUACAUUUGAAAGUGAAAUGAGAAUUCUUCUGGAGAUAGAUUUUUUUGUUUUGUUUUAAGUAAAGAUGAAGAGGCUUUUCUGCAUUCUGAGUAUUGCCAAACAUAACAUUUCUGAGAAUGGAGCCUUUCUAGAGAUAAAUUGUAGUGCUUCUUGGAGGAUGAUUCUGGAGUAUUUCUGGAAACAAUGGGACACUUUUGGAUCUGAGGUACUUCUGGAGGUAACAUGAGCAUCUGGAGAUGGGGCACAGCUUUUCUGGAAAGCUUCUUGGAGUAGAAAUAGAGUUGUUAGGAGAGCAGUGACAUUUCUGGAGAUGGAUCAUACUUGAAGAGAAAGGUGUUUCUAGAGAUGGAACACCUUUUUGGAGCUAAGGAAUUUCUGGAAUUGGAGGGAAGCACUCCUGAGGAGGAAAUGGGUGGUUCUUAGAGAUGGUGUUUUGGAUCAAGGAUAGUCAUUUCUUUUUUUUUUUUUUUUUAAAGAUUUUUUAUUUAUUAUUAUAUGUAGUACACUGUAGCUGUCUUCAGACACACCAGAAGAGGGAGUCAGAUCUUGUUACGGAUGGUUGUGAGCCACCAUGUGGUUGCUGGGAUUUGAACUCUGGACCUUCGGAAGAGCAGUCGGGUGCUCUUACCCACUGAGCCAUCUCACCAGCCCCCUAGUCAUUUCUUGAAAUGAGGGGGCACAGCCAAGCAGGCUGUUUGCCAGAGCCCCCCCCCCCUUUCCCCUCAUGCCCAUGCUCUGUGAGGUGGCUUUGAGGUGCCGAGGUCAGUGUUAUCUUUGCCCUUCUCUGGGCCUGCAUAGGAUCUCCAUAAAGGAAGACCCAAGCCCUCCCAGGCCUACCCCAUCCUACCAUGCCCUUUAGUCUCACCAUGGGAUAGCUAGUGUUGAGUGGGGUUCAUUUAAUUCAGUUUUGUUAGAGCCAGCUGAGGCUCCCUUUAUGGCCUCUAGUCUUUCUUCACCCCAUCUUCUUGUCCUUCAAACACUCUGGAGGCAGGAGGAUAGGUGGGGACUACAAGGGUGACCCUAAGAAAAGGCCCAACUUCUUUCCCUGGCUGUGGGGUGCCUGUCUACCUCUUUCAAUUCCGGACACCAAGACCUGUCCCCACCUGAGCUGGCCUGGAGCCCUGUAGUAAUUAUUUCUCUGCCUUAAUUGAAAUUUCAGCCUCAGUGAAUAUCCCUCAGAAGUGUGCAGAGGCAAAGGCCCUGCACCAGCCUCAGGUGCCCCUCCCCGCCUCAGAGGAUGGUGGUGCAGGCUGCAGUACCAGGGAGAAGGUCUAGGUGGGUGGGCUCAGGACAGUUAUGGCAGACUGUUAAGCAUAGAUUACACUUCUUAUCCCUGCUGGACUAGAAGAUACUUAGAGAAAACAUAGUCCCAAGCUGGCCAAGGAGUAAUGGUAGGGCUGUGAGGAGUUAAUGAUUGGGGUAGCCUGAGGAUGUAGGGACUCAGGAAAGCCUGUGCCUCCUCUUCUUUUGACUGGGAGAAGGGUGGGAUGAUACUCAGGUAGUGCCUUGAUAGCUGAUGGCAACAGGCCCAGUUCUUGGCUCAGGGCUGAGUAAAGCAUUGUGGGUAAGGUUGGGUUGGCUGGAGGACUUCGAGGAACCUAUUUCCUGACUGCUGCUGGGUGGAGUAUGGCUUAGAUGCUGUAUGGGUGCCAUCUUCCCUUUCCCUCCAUCUUGUGUAGUCCCUAUGCUGGACCUGUCUGCUGAGGGAGAGAACAGAGAACUCAAAGGAACACUGCUCCUGAUAAAGGGCUUUUUAAAUGGGUGUGGUGGUGUAUACCUUUAAUUCUAGCACUUCAGGAGGCAGAGACAAAUGGAUCUCUGUGAGUUUCAGGCUAGCCUGUUCUAUUUAACCAGUUCCUAGCCAGCCAGGCCUACAUAGUGAGACCUUGUUUCAAACAAAGCACUAAGAGCCUGCUGAUCUUAGUAAUAUUUGUCUGGGCCCAAGAAAACUACUAUGCAAGCCCUCACCUCGUCCACACAGGCCCCCAGAACUUGCAGGAGUCCAGACAGCCUGCACUGGCUCAUGAAUCUCAGUCUUCAUCUGGGAAGUGGGUCAGGUUAGCAGGAGUUAUCAGAACAAAAGUGACCUGUAAAAUACCUAGGACUGCAAGUACUGUUAACGUGCGUCUGGCACCUCUUAAACAGUUUGAGUUGGUGUGGGGCAGCUGCAGUUCUUUCAGAGGAUAUCUGUCUGGUACCUAGGAAGUAUCUGGAUAUGAAUAUCCUGAUUAGGGCUGCUCCACCCCAGCAAAGGGACAGUUGUGUGACAAGGAAAACUCAAGGCAGUUGGAGUAAAAACUGACAGCAUGCCGGAUGUGGUGGUGCACACCUUUAAUCCCAGCACUCAGGCAGAGGCAGGUGGAUUUCUGAGUUUGAGACCAGCCUGGUCUACAAAGUGAGUUCCAGGACAGCCAGGGCUACACAGAGAAACCCUGUCUCGAAAAACAAAAAAAUGAAAACCAAAAAACAAACAAACAAACAAACCUGACAGUGUAUCAGGGGGUUGGGGAGGAUGCUUAUGACGGGCCCAUUGUAUCCUUACACUACGGCCAUCACACAGGAAGCUCCUGAAGCACUAGUCUGCUCAGCAUGGCUUCCGGUGCUAGCUGCUUGCUCCUGGCAUUGUUCACAGCCUGUCCUAAUUGGGGUAUGUGGCUGUGGCUACCCUCUAAGGGAGAGAAGGGACAGGGAUGACUAGACAGGAUAGGACAUGUCCGCCCUUGGCACCUGAGGAGGUGAAGGCGGGUGCAAAUGAAAAUGGCUAUCCCAUUUGCAGUUCUUUACUUCAUGACUAUGACAGGGUGAGGAAGAAGAAAGUGAGGAUGGCGGUCUAAGCUGGCAGCUAAGAGAAGGGUAUCUGAGUCGAGGCCAAGGCUGCUGACAGGGUUGUUGCACCUCUUGCCUACCAAGCUGCUUGACUGGUUGCAGCUCUAGAAAGCCAUCUUAUUGCACAUUCUAGCAUUUGUUUCUCCUUUCUCAGAUGAGCUCUGCCUCCACUCCAUGAGAAUGUUUAGAUUCUACACUAUCAGCUUGACACCAGCUGGCUGCCUCUCCCUUGUACAGGCCAGGCUAGAGGCUGAAUCAGUUGGUAAUGACCAAAGGCAGCCAGGGGUGAGUCCAAGGCACCAGCCCAACUGCCAGUCAGCUGCUAAAGCUUGGUUGUAGACAGGGCUGUGGUUAUGGAGCCCUCCCCAUGCAUAGAACCACCAGCUGCGCUGACAUGAUUCACCAGGACAGGCAGCUCUGCUUCCCAUUGUAGGGAGGGUGGUGGAAGCCUCCAGAUGCUAUGGUCCCACCCCAUGAGGAGGAUCAUAGGCCAGACCUAAUGUAACCCAGAGGGAACAGUCAGCGUCGGAGGUUAGUGUCUGGAUGAAUGGGUAUCGGACACUGCAUAGCUUAGGCUAGACCUUGUCCCUGGUACCCUGGACUUGGUCCCUACCCAGGAGAGCCUUUGACCAUCCAGGGAAAGGUGCUCUGUGGAUUACACUGAACAGAAUUCUGUGGCUCAUGCUGCUCCCAUGGUCCAGGUCCUCUCUAAAGAGCACAUUUGUCAUGCAUGGGCUGUCGUCUGCUUUGCCUGUCAUCCAGGGAACUCUUGUCUUUCAGAGCAGACAGUUUGCUCUUCCUCAGAAGUACUGUCCAGAGACACCUAUUUUGCACCCUAACCCAGUUGUCUCCAGAAAGUUAGGGAUUUCCCUCCUAUGGCUCCCUACCUGUGCCAGCAGAAAACUGGCUUACUCCUGGAGCUGCCCAGGUGAGAAAUGACAUUGUGCCAGGGAUUUGUGCAGGUACAACACUUUUCAGUAAGUGCCUCUGAGGUUGUGAAGCCAGACUUAGAGAGUAAAAGAAUUCUCUAGACCACAGAGACAUCCGAGAUUUGAACUAGGUCUUAGAGCAGAAUCUUGUAAAAAGCUGUGCCUGUUGGGACCAGGGAAGGAGGCCUGGUGGACAGUGCUAUUUUGUGUUUGUUUCUGACCUCUACCCUGUUGCCUACCAACGCAGCAAACCCUGGGACAGAUCCUGUCUUAUUUUCUCCAGAACAAAGCAGGCUAAAGCCAAGGCUUCAGUGAGAGGAGGUAAAAGAAACCAAAGCUUGCCUUUUGUCCCCCAAGAAAGCAUCUAGGGAAACGGAUUUGUCCUUGAACCGUAAUGGGAGGCCUUCAGGAGAUGUGAAGGGGAGAUUGAGGCAGAGGCACUUGGGCUGUGAUGCCACUCUCCCACCCCCACUUCCGUUAGAGCUUCAGGAGGUGGACACCAUUUUAGUAUUCAGCACACGCUCAGGCUCAUAUAUGUGCAUACAUGCACACAUGUCUCGUCACUUACGCUACCGGUUCCCCUUUAAACAAGGCCUGGAACAACUGACUAAUGGAGGAGAGGGGAUGGAGAAACAGAAAGGAAAAAAAGAGAACUUAGGUGAGAGAAAAUUCAGUACUGGAUACUUUAGUUACCAGUGCCUAGUGACUCACAGGGCAGGCUCAGCCACCUUCCUGAGGAGGGAGACCCACCCUCUGGGCCCCUCCAUCACCCCAUUAAGAAGAUGGGUCCUUAUUCCUGAGUUCUGAGGCAGAAAGAAAAAUCAAGGAUUUUUCAAUAAGAGAACCCCCCUGGGUGGCUCCGAAUAGUUGCUUCCUUUUGUGGUGGUGAGGGACAUGCCCUGCCCUCUUGUCCUUGUCCUGCUCCACUCUGCCAAGGCUGCCUCCCUCCACCAGCUGCAUCUGGACCCCCCUGUGCCCGGGUCCCCACAUGGAUGAGCUCUUCCUCCAAAGCUCAAGUCUUAUUGUUCCUGCCCUUCCCUCCUAACACCCUUAGCUUAGCAGAGGCCACAGGCAGCCUUGCAUCUCAGGAAAGCCAGAGAAUCCCUGAGGCUUUUCUGAAAAGGCUUAAAGCUGGUGCUCUAUGCCGAGGAAACAAAAGCACGCUCCCUACAUCCAGGGUGAUGGGCCUGUGGGCCAGGGCCAUGAUCAUGGCCAUCGCUGCAGUGCCUGUGGACGGGGAAUGAAUGGAAAACAGACUGGUUAAGGAGGGGAAUAGAGGAAAGAAGGAGAUGCAUAAAUCUAUUUAUCAGACACUGCAUAUCUUAGGCAAGCACAUUUCAGCUGUUUUGGCUUUUGGCAAGCUGGUCCUAUCCUUUAAUUUUCUAAUAAAAAGGAAUUACAUUUCCUGAAAAGGCGUUAGCCAGCUUCAUGUCACUGUAUCUUGUAGGGACCAUAAUUCCUUUCUUGUGUGUCCUCUUGCUCUGAGGCAGGCUCCUGGGGUCACAAGUAAUGUGAAUGGGGUCAGAACAGAUACGAGAUACACCUUAAGGCUUGCUCAUGCCCUUCCCAACCUGGCCUAUUCACUCCUGACUCAGUCCAUGUCUCUAGGUACAAGGACUGGCCUGAGACUCACAGCAGAAACUUAAUACAUGAAGAAUUCAUAUAUUUUUACUGCUGAUGUCUCGAUAUCGAGCAGACUGCUUGGAUGAUGAAAUCUUGGUUGGAAUUAGUGAAGAAAUGAACAAAUGAAAACUUCAUUCUUUAACUAACUGGAUGGACUUACCCAUCCUCCCUCCUGUCUAAGUUCUGAAACUAAAUUUAUUAGAAACUGCCAAAAAUGCUGUCAUUCCCCCCCCCUUUAAACCAUACACGUUGUUUUCAUUUUAAAGAUAGUUUUUACAUUUAUCUAUUUUGUAUAGAGUGGAGAAAGUAUUUUUAUUACAGUGAAUGUAAUAAAUUAGUUUUCCUUUCUACCGUGUGAGUUUCAGGGAUUGAAUUCAUGUCUGUAGGCUUGGGGGAGAGCAUCUUUGCCCUCUGAGCCAUCUUGGGAGCCCAUAUACAUGGUUCUCAGUGCUUCAUUUAUUUUUCCAGAUUUACUUUAUACCUAUGGACAUUGUCUAUAUGUACAUGCAUGUAUGUGCAUCUGUCUGGUUAUAGCUCUGCCUAUGGAGGCUGCAGGUGGGCCCUGCCUGCUGUCCAGCAGGGCCAUAGGCAGUACAGAGUGGUCCUGAUACAUGCAUCCCUCUCCCGAGGGGGUGUCUUUUGCUUUACACAUGCUAUCGUUCCAGUCCUAGGUUGACAGAACUCUGACCACAAUGAGUACUUACCAAACACUAGCCUUGGGGACUUGGGAGCAGCCUUCCUUGUUCUGUGUACAGUUCUAGGCCCUGAGUGUCCUCAUAUCCCUGCUGUGUCCAAGUGUCUCACAGUGAAGAAAGCAUGGAUCCAGAAGGGUGAAGAAGCCACAGCAGCUCCCCACUGCUAGUGCCCCGCUCUACCAGACCAGUUUGAGCCAAUAGAAAAAUGAGGGCCCGCUAGGUGGUGGUGGCACACGCCUUUAAUCCUAGCACUUGGCACUCAGGAGGCAGAGGCAGGCAGAUCUCUUGAGUUUGAUGCCAGCAUGGUCUACAGAGAGAGUUCUAGGACAGCCAGGGUUACACAGAGAAACCCUGUCUUGGGGGGGAAAAAAAGACAAAGUUAAUAAUAAUAAUAAAUACUAGGGCCCAUGGGCUAUGGGGUUUUGGAUCUCAGUGAAUGUGGAUGUUUUCUUCAGGCUGCUUCUGAUUAAGGUGGAGUUAGCCCCUCACUAACUGGAAGGCUUGAAGGCCAUUGGAGUUCAGCCUACGGACAUGUGCCCAGGGCAUGUUCCUGGGUGGCUCAGAAGUCCAAAGUGAUAGACUCCGCUUAGGUAUAGCUAGUCUUAGCUAGGAAAUUGAACCAGCAGGGUCAGAAUAGGGCCAAGGACAUGCAGGGGGGGCCUGGUUAGCUCUGAAUCCAUAGAGGCAGUGGGCAGGUUGUUGGGCUCUGGUAGGGCAUUGUCUCCUGGCACCCUAGUACAGUGUGCCUUUGAAUUCUGUCUCUCUGUAGAUCGUUUUUUAGAGUGUGUUUAAGGUAGGGAGGCUUUGCAAGACAGAGAGGUACAGAGCAGGUACUAGGGCCUACAGCCCCAAGAUGUGGCUGCUCUGUCCAGAUUGGUAUGGGUCAUGCUUAGGGCCUGGUGACCACUGGAGAAGGCAUAUUCAAGGGGUGGCCUGUGGAUUCUUGCCGUUCUGGUACGCUUCUGUCAGGCUGCUCCACCUGUGAGCACUGUCUCAGUGUAUCUGUGUCAAGGUAUUCACACUAUAAUGUGGAAGUUAGUUCUUCCUUCUGCCGUUUGGGUUCAAGGGAUUGAACUCAGGUCUUCAGGCUUAGUGACAGGUGCCUUUACCUUCUGAGCCAUCUUGCCUCGCCACCAACCCCUGCCUACAUAAUCUUGCUUAAAGAUCUAUGUAGAGACAGAGUUCAAAGGCCUUUGUGUAGCAGGAACCCUCCACUGAUUUGGUGACCAUGAACCUGGUCAAGGUCCCAAAGGGACCACUGUAUCUCCUAUCGCCCAUGAUGCUCAGCUGCUGCUCCCCAGAAAGAAGUCUUGUCAUAAAGAAAAGGAGAAAGAGGGAAGACAGGCUUUCGCAGCAUCUCUUGGAGGGCUGGUGUCAUUUUUCUGAUCUGAGGAAGCAUCUGUUCAGCUCUUCAGAGGGUGGGGGUUGCUUAGAGCUGUGCAGCGUGGAGUAAGCCUGCUUCUAUCUUGGGGGUGUGAUGAGCCAUGGGGUCCCUGCUCCCCCACAGAUUCUUGCUUGGAAUUUCUACAGCCAUUAAGUAGCCUCUGGCUGUCCCUGCCUCAUCCAAAGAUGGGGGCUUCCGUGGAUAAUGUUAGAGUCUGCCCUUCAGUGUCAUUUGGCAAAGACCUUACCUUGCAUGAGAGCUCACACACGUCUUUGUUUUUUAAAGAUAACAGCUGCCAAACAAAUUGUGUGUAUUAUGUGACGAUUAAUUCAUUACCCUGUUUCUUAUUAAUGAAGGAUAGUUAUAACUGCCUCUCUGAAUGUUGAUGGGGGAAGCCAGGAGGGUCUCUAGCCCAGAGAGGAGCUUUAGUUGGGGUGAACACACUGUACCUCUAAGGGUUUCUAGAAGACAUAGUGAUGGCUCAUGGACCCACCCAUAUCACCAAGUCCAGGCUGGGUGCCUGUCUCUUAUAUGGAAACUGGCUAGUAAUCUUCCUGGAGUUAGAGGACCUGUUCCCAGCCCUGAGAGUGGCAGCAGGGGGUAGCUACUGUGUACUACCCCCUACUCUAGGCAGAGCAGAGCCUGGUUGGUAGAGGAGUGUCUUAGCACACCAAGAGCUGCAUACAGAACUGAGGAACCAAUAAGUGGACACAGUCCAGAGGCACUGGGUGUAAGGAAGACUUCCUGAAGAUGGCACUGCUCUAAGAAGUUUGGGGAGUUUAAAUGUUUUUUAAAUGGUUCUGGGGAUGGAACCCAGGUCCUGUAUGUGUUAGGGAAGGAAGGUUGCCAUAUGAAAAGAAACAACAUAUGCAAACAUGAUGUACAUGGAGCGGUGAUGGUGGGUCACCCUUAAGUGCUGAGUAUGAGCUGAGGGAAUGACACCCCAGGGGCCUCUGCCUUCCUCUACUGUUAGGUACCCAGUGACAAAGACACCUCCAGGCUAGGGCUUUUAGUUCUUGACCAGAAGAUGUCAACCAGACUAGGAUGUAUAUCACAGCAGCCUCCAGUGCCUGUCAGGCCGUCCCUUUAAUUUACUGCACCCAACUCCCAAGAUUCCUGUUGAGAAAGAGGCUGGAUACAGAGCAGAGUCUGCAUGUCAGCAGAGUUGAUCUUCUUGCCAGCUGCCCAGCUGCCUCCAGGGACAGCCUUCCAAGUGCUGGGUUAAAGGAGCGCACCACCUCACCUGGCCUUACCUCAGGUUUUGAGACAUGUUCUCUCUGGGAACCAGGCUCUCCUCAUUGGGUAGGGCCAGCACUGUGUCUCCACCUCUUCAGUCCUAGCUAGGACUGACUAUAAACUCUCCUGGCUCCUCUUGUGGAUGCUGGAGAUUUAACUCUGGUCUUCGUGCUUUCACAACUUUGCUGACUGAACGACCUCCCCAGACCCCAUCUCAGGUUGGAAUAAAAAUAACCACUUGGAAAAUAAAAUGACACAUUUGAGUCUUCGGCCUCCAGCAGGUCCCUUUACCAUAUCUUUCCUGGGCUCUGGGUCCAGAUUUAAGUUGGAGAUACUCUUGAACACUUGGAAAUUGGAGAAAAGUUCUUGAUCUUCUGCAGAAACAUAUGCUUGUGCAUGUACACAACUUUUCAUUUGAUUUCGGGUAAUCACCACACCCGGGCUGGGUGUUGGAAGGUGGGGAGACCUGUGUGUGGACAGACUGCCGCGCUGAUAAGAAGUCUGUGGUUGUACAUGUCGUACACUGGCCUCUGUGCAUGGCUGGCCCCUGGAGUGUUUUGUACAAAACCAUGUGGCAUACAUCUGGCCAUCAUCUUCCCUUCUCCUUUUUUAUAACAGCUCAGGCUGUGACACUGAUGAAGUUAUGAGAAUUAUGUGUACACCAGUGAAGAACAGUCCUACAAAUUGUGCCAUUCACCCUGUCCAUUAGGCUCAAAAGGACUGUCCCCAUCUUGCUGAGGACCAAGGGAACCUGGGGCAGAUUGCUCUGGACUGAGAUGCAGGGCCAGGUGCUGCCUGUUUUUUCAGGUGGGGACAGUUGGAGGAGUGUGGGUCAUGGCCUAGGCUAGCUCUGCCUUGUCAGGCACAGAGAAGGCUCAGUCUAGGUGGGAACUGUUCCCACCUGUACAGGCAGGUGUGAAGGGUGUGAGAGCACCUGAAGCCAGCAUAGCACUGGGUGUCUGCCAGCAAAGCAGCCUGGCUACAGUGCCUCAGCCUUGACCUAUCCGCUGCUGUCAGGAAGUGCAGGGCCUGCCCAUGCUCCUCUCAUCUGUAACCCCUUGGUCUCUGAGGCUUUUCCAGGCAGUGGGACUUCAAGCAGAGUCCUUUUGCAGCAGACUCCCUGGCCAACAUGAAGAUGUCUCCAGCAGCAGCCUCUGCCACUUGUAGCUAAGCAGGGGAAGUUGGACUUGCAAGUUGGCUCCAUGGAGCCUGUAAUCAGCCCUGCAAGGCCCCUGCUGUGGGCACCCUUAAGUGCUGCUUCCGGAGCCUACUUGAGAUACACCUGCUUGUGCUCAGAAGAGAGGCAACAAUCCACCAAAACAACCCCAGGUGCCGGCAGGAGGGGUCAGGACUCAGAUUCCCUUCUCAUGGUCCAACAUUGUGUGAGGUCUGGUGCAAGCUUCCUCAAGUUUUAGUGUCCUUGGAGGUGCAUGGCCCCAGGGCUUUCCCUCCCAGGGCCUCUGAUGGAUGCCAUCGUUGGGAGAGGAAUGAGCUCCUGACUCCUUCCUAAGCCUCCUCCUUCACUGUGCCCUCAUCUCUUUCUUUCCAGAGACAUUAUAAAUCAAACGGCUUAGAACGUAAGGCAUCAAAAAUUCUGAAACCUUCAUCUAUUAUUAACGCUGACAGUAAAUUCCCCCUUCGAGCAUUUUACAUAGCAACUGUUACCAAGACUCACGGGUAGAGCUGCACUCAACCACCAAAUCCUGGAGGCUCCGGGCGGAUGGCUGGGCCAGCCAGUUUCUGGGCCAUACUUGUUGGCCACCUGAGCACCUGCUAGCCUCUCCAGCUGCUGGUGGGGAAGGAAGGAUCUCUUAGCUAAGGAAACAGCUGAUGUCCUGCUGAAAGAGGGUCCCAGCUGCUUUUGCUGAUCUCUGCUGCAAGAUCCUCACAGACCCCAGCUCCAGGCCAGAGAAAAGGCCCCUGAGGCUUUCUGAGGCCAUGCCUGGGGGUAGGGAUAGGGUCUGAGAGGGAAGACAGGAAAAGGCUUCAGAGAUGCUAAGGGUUGUGCAGAUGUUGUUUACAGACUCACCCACCUGUCAGCCAGACUUUCCUGAGUGACUGUUUGUCUGCAGGCGGUAUCUAAGCACCAGGGAUUUAAAACAAAGACAAAAGGCCUAGUCCCUGUCGAAUCUGGUUUGGUAGGAGACAGUGGUGUCAAGCUCUAAUUGCAGUGGAGUACAAGAAUCAAUGUGUGUACCAGGAACCCACUCAGGGAAGAGGGACAGGCAGAAAAGGAUGGGGUGGAGAGUGGCUGCCCAGGGUUUGAAAGGAUGAAUAGGAUCUGUGGGUUUUCAACAUAACUGGCAUAUGCUCAGGUUCCGCAGCAAGCAUUAGCCCAACAUUUGUUGCAGAUGGAUCUAUUGAAGAAGGAGCUAGAAGAGAAAGCAGGAGAGGCUGUUAGAACUUAGAAUGUAAAGCAGUGGUGUUUGUUAGGUAGCCCUGGGAGCUGUGGGAGGGGAGCUGCCGGGACAUUGUACUUGCUUGUUACUUUCAUUGCACAGAUGAGGAGAGAAGGGUCUGCAAAAGCUUAGGCAGGCCCUUGCUACAUGCCCAGCCCGUGUUGGGUAGAGCAGUGCAGCCUUGGUUUAGUUCUGAUAAAGGCCUGGACCAUGUGGGUCUUUCCUGGAGCAGAAUGACCAACCAAGGAGGACCUGUCAGAAACCAGGACAGGGGCUUGGGAAAUAGCACGGAGUAAAGUGCUUACCAUGACAAGCUGGCAAGGUGGUGGAAACGUGUGAUCUCAGUGCUGAGGAGGUAGAGACAUUUGGAUCCCCAGAGUGCUCUGUUCAGGCAGCCUAGCCGAAUCAGUGAGCUGAGUUCAGUCUCAAAACUUUAGGUUGAGAGUAAUUGAGACAGAUGUCUGACACCAACCUCUGGCCUCUACAUACAAUCCCCCCCUACCCCCCAGCAGAACCAAACCAAACCAAAACAAAAAACAGGACCUCCAUGAAGCUAUGGGGUCAGUGUUAUAUAGUAACAAAUAAAAUAGGUGGUAACUGCAGAGAUUUUAGCAAAUGGAAAUCCUAGGAAAAUGGGCUUGCUGGUGGCCUUCCCUCUCAUCUAAUGCCAGGUCACACUGGGUCAUGGCCAGGAUGGGGCAAGAUGUUUGUUUUAAGACAGGAAUGGUAUUCUGAGUAACACAGCUUUUGGCAAACUGUACUCUUGGGGGGUGGGGGGGGGGUACACAGGGAUACAGGGGCCUUCCUCCAAAAGAUAAAUGAAGGAAAGUAGGCCACCAAAGGGCAAGGGGACAGUGCUGAUGUCUUUCCUCACGGUCCAUCACAUUCUGUACUUAGCACAGCUCUGCAUGUAUUGUCUCCAAGGCUAAGCAAGCAGGUUUAGAGAUGUGCUGAGCCAUGAGAUGGUCCUGGAUGUGGGAUGGGGAAGCUUUCUAGAGUAGGUGGGCUAGGAUACAAGUGUGAGAGACUUGGGUGCAUAGCCUCGGUUCACUUACCUGCAGAAUUGGCUUGUGGCACAUUCCUGUAGUCUCAGAACUUUUGAGGUAGAGGCAGAAGGUAAGAGCCUCAAUUAUGUAGUGAAUUCAAGAGCAGUCUGGGCCACAUGACAUACUGUCAUGUUCCCCAACCCCCACCCCAAAAGAGAAAAAUGAGGCACACCUCAGCUAUAGACUAUGGUUCAGGCCAGGGCUACAGGUUUGUGUUCUACAGUGUUACAGGUGAGGGGAACAAAUGACUAGGCAAAUGUAGCUGAACACUCAGUUAUCAUGGUGGAAGGCAGAGAGGGAAGAAUCGAUGAUCUAGAGAGGGCUUGGCCUUUAGGGCUAGAGACACCACAGAUUACUGUCUCUCUGCUUUCUGAAAACUAAUUUCAAGGUGUGGCCAGCUGAGUUCUGGGUAGCUUUUGUCCCCCUGCUUUAGAGAGGGCGGAGCCCCACCCAGCAUGGUGGGGGAAGUAUCCUCCAGCUGUGUGCCUGACUUUGGUUUCCUUCGCUCUCAUAUGGCCUCUUAGCUCUCUUAAACCCUAUGCAGGCUUCUAAAGUUAUAAUUGAUAUGAGACCUCCAGUACACAAAGUCCUCAGCAGAAGGGUCCGGCUCCCCAUCUGGCACCAACUGCUCAGAGAUGGCCUCUGUGCCUCUGGCAUGUAGUAAGGGCCUGGCAGAUGAACACUGCCUUUGGCCUCUUCACUGUCCUCCCAGGGUGAUGAGUGGCAGGUAUUUCAGCAAUUUCUCGGAUUUCUGUGUACUCACCAGAUUCUGCAUCUGGAACCCAAACCACGGUUUUUUGAUUUUUGUGAGCAUCUACCAUGUGCUAGUGGAUGGGUGCUAUGACAGAACCGGGAACUGUGGCCUGGAAGAAGCUACUGCUGCUAAGGAUAGGGUUUCAGGGAGGGAAUCCAAUGUAAUCUGAGGAGAGAUGGUCCUUGUGUGGAGAUGACAAUCCAUGGAUAGUGUGCCAGGCAAAUGGAGAGGGUAGAGCAUCCUAGCAUUUGAUGCCCAGUGUGUUUAAAGGCUGGGUAUGCAAAAAGUCUUUUAAAGGAUCUUGUAGUGGGCACCAUGGUUGGAGGGGCCUUUGGUGCCCUGAGCUAGCAGCUCCUGAGCCUGAACACCACCAGCAGACAGUCUCCAGUCAGCUGCAUUCUGUACUGCUCAGCUGUAGAGCGAACAUUCACUUCUUCAUUGGGCCAGCAUGUUCCUUCUGUGUGCCCCCAGAGUUCCCAAGACGCUGUAGAGCCAUGGUUGGGGCCUAGUAGCAGAGUGCUUAGUAUAUAUGAGGCCCUGGGUCUUAUCUCUAAUCACAAGCAAGUAAAUGCACAAGGCAGGAAAUUUGAGAAUGGGGAGCUGUAGAGAUGGGAUUUGGUCUGCAGAGGAAUCAGUCAUAGGAAGUAGCUUUGGGUUAUAAAAGGAUGCAAGUAGACAGUGGGAAUAAGGGGAAACUGUAUAUGUGCUCGAGGGGCCCAAGUAGCUGCAGCACAGGCGGAAGAGGAGUAGGGGAAAGUAGAUGGCCUGCUUCCAGCACAGCCUUGGCUGGCCUGGGGACGUCCGUGUGACUUGAGGAUAGUCUCUCUUCAGGCAGUAGGAAAGCUGCCCAUGUAGCUUCAUGUGUGACUGAAUGAGCGGAUCGCAUUCUCUGAGCUUGGGAAUUUUGUGGUGUGUACUUGCUCAUCACCCUCCCAGCUGUGACCAUGGUUAGCCAUGGUUGUUCCAUGGGGAGGAAGGAUACAUGGAAACAAAUUUAAGACCCCAGAACACAGGCCAUCUCAAGACCCUCUGUCUUACUUCUCCAUGUUCCCCAGUUCCCUCCCUCUCUUUCUUCCCUUUCCUACCUACCUUCUAUGCCUGUGGGCUGCUCUGAAGGCUGGUAGAGGUGAUGAGAGCCUCCUGCUUGUAUGCCAAGUUUGUUGGUGUAAAGUUGGGGUAUGUAUCAUAUGGCCUCCAUUGGAAGCCUUUUUUUUAAUGGAAAAAAACACAUUCCCUGGGAUUCCAACUCACAUGACCUGAAACAGUUUGGCCAACGAUACUGUUUCCUGUGUUCCCAGGUCAUUCAUUUUCUGAGUCACCUCCCCCUUCUAAGCAAUAGGAGACGUGUCUGUCAGAGAAGAAGGUUGCUUAGGAGCUGCCCUGGACCACCCAGAAUGAGCUGUAGAAAUGACAGGCACACCAGCUGCUGACUGUGAACUUGGCCCUCGCCACUGGGAAGAGCUGGCUCAUAGGCCUGACCCAGUAGUUCAGUCAGCCUCUGCCCAGCCGAGCCAAAGGCCUGGGAAUGGAUGUGGACAGGAGGCUGCUGCUCACAAGCUGCUGCUCACAGUUGGCCUAGUCUUCCGGGAGACCCUUUCCAUCUUAAGAUUCUUUUUUUUUUUUUUUUUUUUUUUUUAAAUAAAACCUUUCCCCUCCAACGGCUUUUUUUUUUUUUUUUUAAAGACUUUAUUUAUUAUUAUAGUAAGUACACUGUAGCUGUCUUCAGACACUCCAGAAGAGGGAGUCAGAUCUUGUUACGGAUGGUUGUGAGCCACCAUGUGGUUGCUGGGAUUUGAACCGUGGACCUUCGGAAGAACAGUCGGGUGCUCUUACCCACUGAGCCAUCUCACCAGCCCCCAUCUUAAGAUUCUUAUAGAUUGGUUAGUUCUUCUCUUUUUUGUUUUUAAGGAAUUAAGAGGGGUGAGGGUGUGUGGCUCAGUGUACAGCACCUGUACGUUGGAGGCCUUGGGUUUGAUCUCUUGUACCAUCAAAAACUAGAAAUGAUGUCAUAGUUACUGUUUUGACUGGCCUCCCCAGCCCCUAGGUGACCCAAAUACAGGGGUCCUUAGAUACCCGCCCCCAAAAGGACAGCCUGACAGGCAGUGUCUAAGAGGCUGAAAGGGAUGUGGGGAGAAAUGCAUCUUUGUUGCAGACCCAUGUGGGGCUCUUUAUGUAAAUGGUUUCAGUGCCUAACAGGAAAAAGAAAAAUGAGGCUUUGAUGUGAGCCUCGGCAUCUCUGUCAGACCUGUACAGUGUCACUCAGGCUUCGGGGUGGCCUGUUUCUAUUAAGGAGCUGUCAGCUGUUCUCAGGCCACAGGCCCAGGGGGCUCUCAGGGUAGGGGUGGUCCAGAGCUGUCUAUAGAAUGCUGUAUGAGUGUGGGAGCUGUGUUGGGGAUGUCGGUGGGUCUGGAUUCCCUGAGUACCAGAGCUGUGGGCCACCCCAGUAGAUGCCAGAGAAGAAAAGGGGAGAUGGAGACAGGUGAAGACCAGCUGGCCAGGCAGCACAGCAUUGCAUAGAGUGGGACAGGCUUCCUUCCCCUAGCAGAUACAGGAAAAGAUCCUGCUGUUCCAUAGACCUAUAUAAUCCAGGCUAUCUCAUGGAGAGGAUCCUAGGUCCCAAGGAACAUUCUAAAUGAAUAAAGAAUGACAGGGGACAGAUCACCAAAGGCUAAAACAGGCACACUGUGCUCUUAGUCUAGAAGGAUGUACGAUGUCUACAUGGUAUCUAUGGCAACAGUCUAUUAGCCAGAAUUUGGUUACACCAGCUCUUGUCCCCAUUCAUUCUAGAAAAUACAGAACUGCUGGUCUUUUUAGAAACCUUGCUGGAAAAAUAUGAAAAAAAAAAAUAGUAUUCACCUCCAACCUCUUACAUGAAAAGACAUUGAUGUUAACUUUUAGUGUCACAAACUUGGGAUUGUGUUUAGUGCCUGCUUCUGUGCCCUGUUCAUUGUAUAUUGUAUUCAGACCCUUAGCAUUUCUCUGUAAUAAGAAAAGCUCUAUGAGAACAGUGAUACUGUGGGCUGGGAUUUGGAGGACCUGCUGUGCUGUGUGAUCUUGCAGGAUCAGUUGAUUUCUCUGAGCCUUGUUCCUUGUCUCUGUGUAGGGACAGAGACCAAUGGUUGUUUCUCAGGCUCUGCGUAGGGGAUAUGGAUAUGUUGCCUGUCUCAAGAUACGUAACGGUGACAGCUUUGCCCUCCUUAGACGAAAGAAAGCCUGGUGAUGUUUGUGGCAGGGCAGGCACUGGACAACACUUUCCAGGUAUAUAGUUAGUGGGAUGCUGAGGACCUGGCUAGUGCUGCCUCCAGUAAGCACUUUACCACCUCUUAGCCCAGGACUUUGCAUCUCUGAACACUAGCCCCCACAUAGCCUCAGAAGCCAGUGAUGGUUUGCCAGUUACAUUGAUGGAAGCAGGGUAACUGCUCAAAGAAAGGAGUAUCUUGUUACUGUCUGGAUGAUGGGACUGGGGCCUGGCAUUGACUCUUGGUCCUGCAGUGCUCAUCAGGACUUCAGGAACCUCAGGAUAUUGUAUCCAUGACCAAUCCUCACCAAGUCAGCUGCCCAGGACCCAUAUUCAGAAAUCCCUGGUGCAUGCUACAGCUCUGCCAUCUCUGAUGAGAUCUCACUGUUUUCAGCAAGGGCCUUACAUGUCAGCAAAGCUUCCCUGACUCUUGGCCGCAGAAUUGCGUGACGUUCCCACAGCUCUAUCUGCCUGUCCCCUAUACAGUGGAGAACUCUGCUCUGAGGUCAGGUGCUUACUAGGAUCACAGGGGAUAAGGGUCUGGUUGGCCAUUAUAAACUCUUGGUCACACAUUCUGGGGGACAUGGGAUGAUAGGAGUCUUGGACUGGACAUAAGAAAAGGAGGCACACACAAUAGGGAUACCACCGCCUCACCUCCUAGUCUUCUUGGGCUAGGUGGGUAGUACCAGGCAGUGAAGUUAGGCAAGAUAUACUUGGUACCCGUCCAUGAGGGAGAUAGAAGAACAGGGUCAGGCCACUGAGUAUUCAGAAGGCUGGAUAAUGGUGCUCAGCAGUUUGAGGGGAAGCUAAGAGUGUGUCAGAGGGCAGCACAUAUAGGGCAGGCCUCAGGCAGCUUAGCGGGAAGGGAGCUAAAGGAAGCAGGCAGAAUGGUUUUCCAUCUACACAGAAGCCAGCGGCCGGAGCAGAGCUUCUGCCUUUCCUACCAGGCCACCCCAGGAUUGAGGCAGUUGAGCCUCAGAAUAGAAGUGAGCAUGUGGCUCUCUUUCCAAAGGAGGAGACAAAACAGGGCUCUGCCUUUUUAAUAUUCCAAUCAACUUUUAGGGGCUGGGUCUGGUGAGGGGCACAGGACAGCCUAGGGCAUGUUGAGAGCAGACUUGGUGGACCAUAGGAUAUGAGUUUGCAGACCUGUCCUAGGGGUCUGGGAGAGGCUAUGCAAUGCAAAGAAGGGAAGAACUGAUUCCAGUGAGGACACUGGGAAAGGACAAGGUCUGGUGUCUACUCAAGCACAGAGAGAGCCGCUGCAGUCCAGAAGGUCUUAGGGCUGGAGCUCAGUAUACUAAGGGCAGGAAAUGAAGGGAUAGGAAGACAUUGAACAGUUUAUAGCAAUAAAGCCCUGUGAACAGAGCUUCUGUGGGGCUACAGGGACAGAGGCUAGAGCCCUGGAGAGCCCUCUGGGUUGUAGGUACAGCAUCUGUGGCAGCUGGGCAUGUGAUAGGCUCUGUACUAUGGAGUGAGGUUGGAGAGACCUUGGAAGAGGAACACAGGUGAAGUGGUUAUGGGGAGACUUGAUGGAGUGGUGAGGGCUUGAGGGUGCCAGGGACACACUAGAUCUCAAUCAGAAGCUUUGGAGAAUCAGAAGAAAGAUGCAGCUGGGGGUCUUUUUCCUCAGAAGGAGGCCUAUGUUCUAGAAAGAAAUAUAGUCACUCAGAGAGGCCAAAAGAAGGAACAGAGGGAAAACAGAAUUAGAGCAGAGAUGGGGCAGGGCUAGGGGCUCCCCGGGCCGCCAGCUGUGGGGUCUGCCUUGGGAACAGUGAGGGGAGGAGUCGGUGUCAGGAGAGCUCGUGUACUGGCCUUCAGACAAGGUCUGGCGUUCAGGAUUUCUAUCCACCAGCCAAGAGGGGACAGCCUAUCUCCCGAAGAGCUUCAGGGCAUCCAGGCCUCAAGGACAAAGGCUGGGGUUGGGGGUGGGGGGUGAGCAGGAGAUGGAGCCUGUAGCUGUGAGCUUAAUGGCCCCGGAAAGAAAAAAAAAACAUAAAGCUGCAGAAUUACGGGGAGACAUAAACAGAGCUGUCAGGCAUUAGCUGCAGGGAGACGGCUGAGCAGGGUAGAGCUGCGAUCCUGUGUGUGCAUAAAAAGACAGAAGUUAUCAAAGGAGCCAGAUUAAGGAGCUGCUGUCUCUGCUGUACUCAGGUUCCCUGGCAGGUUCCUUUCUUAUGCCUCAGCCUGCCGCCUCUGGUCAUAGGCUCCGGUCACAUGCUGACCGAAGGGGGCAGGGGGCAGAGGUGCCAGUGAUGUUUGAGUGGACAGGGGACCCAGGUAGGAGUGGGAGGGUAGGAGUCAGGUCUAAGGAGGGGGCGGUGCUGACCCUGACCCUUUAUGAGUGAUCAUACACCCUGCCAGCUUUAUUUCUUGCUGUUGCUGAUGAUGAUGUUAGCUAAGCACUAAUGGACUUAAGUUUCAUCCAAAGCCAUCCCUGUAGUCCUCAGCAGAUGACAAACACCCUGCUCUCCUGAGCUGCAGAGAUACCAGCCUAUGCGGAGGCAUGUACAUGCCUGUGCAGAUAUGCUGCCCGCUGCCCCUGCUCCCAUCAGAGAGGCUCCCAGCAAUCCUGAGUUGGAGAAGGGUGGUGUCCCAGGUGAGAAUAGAAUUCUGAACUAGGUCUUAGGGGUACCUAGCAUGUAGACAGGAGCCUGGCCUAGUAAUUCUCAGGCCCCUCUUGAGUACCUCAGACCAAGCACCAUGAUGAGGGUCUGGGAACUGUCUGUUCUUAAACUCUCAUGCUCUUUUAAAGAAUCAUGUUAUGCAUGGGCUAAGAAAAAUACCAUUGGCUUUGCUGGAGGGCAGAACUCCAUUCACCUACCUGUUCACUCGCUCACUCAAUAAAUGUGAGGCCUCCACCACUUGAUCCAUCCUGCCCCCAACUCAAACAUGCCCAUCAGAGGCCUGAUUUGUGCUUUUGAGUCUCUUAGGGGACAGCAAUUGGGCAGUCUCUAAAUGCAGUUUGUGUGGGAGAAGAUCUUUUGUUGGCAGAGGUUCUGAAGGUUGUGGGGGGAAAUGGGCAAAGAGCUCUGGAAGCUGUGUGGCCCCAGGACCCACCUGGUAAGGAGAACGGGCAUGUAUCUGAAGAGGAGGGUACCAGAACAUAUGCAGGGCCCUCACAGAGGAUGUGUGGCAUCUUCAGGUGCUCCUGCUUACCUUGCAUAUGCCCACCAGUCUGGGAUGCCCUUCCUUCACAGUAUAGCUGGGGCUUUUAUCUACCCUUAAAGCUGCCCAGUGGGCUUGCACACACAUCUAUUGACUAAGGAAACUUCAUUCUUAUGUCCCAGCACCUGCCUUCAAUCACCCUAUGUUACGAGUGGUUCUCCCUCCCACUGAUGCCCAGUGAGGUCAAGGAGGACACUUGAGGAAGGUGGCCACCACCAGGAGGGCCUCAGAUGUCUCUCUCUUUAGCAGGCCUGGUGAGCUGGAGGCGAGGGUUUGGUAGGAUUUGAUUCCCACACUGUGUGACCCUUUUGUCCUCUCUGGGCUUUAGACACACACUGGGUUACUUAUAGAUAGUGGCCCUACCUGGUUCUGGCACACCAAGAGUUGCAAGUCAGGCUUGAGUUGGAGACAUGCAUUGGCAGGUUGGUAGACUGACUCCAUCACUGUUCUCUAGGAGAUAAUCCAGCUCUUCUUAACUGGCCUCCAUAUUUACCUGUCACUAUAGUUACUGUGAGUCACAGUGUACAUAUAUCCAGGGUUGUCACCCCUGCUCUUGUCUGUGCACUGUCACUUAGCACAUUUGUGUUCUGGGUCUUGAACCUGUCUCAAUUCCACAUCUAACUAAAGAAACUACAUUUUCAGACCUUUCCUCUCUGCCUCCCUUUCCCUCAGUGUUUCCUGCAUAUUUCUCAAGACUCAGGACUUCCUCUGGGUUAUCCCUCUGAUCCUGUGCCUCCUGGGUAUAAUAAGUUCAGCCUUUGCCUGUACAUCAGCGCUCAACUGUCUUCUGCAAGGGUUACUUGAUCUUUUUGCUGUUUUUGGCUGCGUCUGUUCCUAGCACCCAUGCACGUAGAGUACACACUUGGGAACUGCUUCUCAGGUGGAAGCAUAGUUGGGCAGGCGUAUGGAUGGGCAAGCGGAUGAAUGGGCAGGUGGGUGGUGGGUAGACAGGUGGACAGUGGGGAAGUUGAUGGGUGAAUGGAGACUACCUAGAUGAAUGAAUGGGAGGGUGUCAGUGGGCUGAGGGACUAGAGCUCCCAGGAGGUAAGCUUCUGAGCCUUGAAGGGGGCUCAGUUUCCCUGUGUGUAAAAUGUUCUGUCUGCUCAGCUCCUAUGGUUGGGAAUGGUGGCCAAGAAGACAAUAGGUCAGGUGUGACAGAAAGUGGCCACAAAGGAAAUUGUUAGCUUGCAGCACCGAAAAAAGAAAAGUUCCUUUUCUGUAGGCCCUGCCCUGACUAGAGAGUUGGGACUAGGGUUCAAUUUAAAUCCAAGUCUUGCUGUUUCCAAGAUAUCCUUUGCCCUCUUGGGAUUUAGUUAUUUGUUUGUUUGUUUGUUUGUUUUAAUAAGAUAGGGUGCUUAUGUUCUUGCUGAUUCUCUGGAGAUGAAAACAUUGUUUAGGCACACCCGGAAAACAUGGAUCCUAUACAUGUAGAGUUUUACACCCUGGCUCUGUCUCUGGGCCCGACCCCACUCACCACCGCAGCAUGAUUUAUAGAAUGUUAGAACUUUCAUCUGAAUACACAAAUGCCCUAAGCCUUUUUCUGUGCCUGUGACCUCAUCUGUAAAGUGAGUUAGGAUGUGACUGAUGCUCAGAACAGAGCCAGUACCUGGAAGGUCAGUGAGAUCGGUCAUAGUGAUGGUAGCAAGGGAUUUCUGUUCCUUAGUGGCUCUCAGCUCAGUUCUGGGAUAUGGACGUUUAACUGCAGUCCCUACUUAAAGGAUGACAAUUACAGGCUUGGAGAGGCGGGGUAGCUCGCCUGAGGUCACAGAGUCAGUCAGCCUCAGGGUCUUGGGUACUUGGUGUUUGUUCCCAAAGACUCUCGUGAGGGCAUUCUGGAAAAAGCGACUUCUAGAUCACAGUGAAGCACAAAGCUAUCCAGAACAUUCCUGGGGCUGCAGGGCUUCCUGCUAGUCUGCCAGGCCAGUUCCAUCCAGGGUUGGCACCUGGAGUUGUCACAUGUGACAGGACCCUGCUCAGGCCACUGCUACUAGGCCUUUGUGUCCAAGCAUUGUGCCUGACUAUCCUGAUAGUAACCUGCUGGUGGGAAUAGCAGUGAGCAGAUGAGAGUCAGACCCAUGUGACGCCCAGGAGCUCCUGUCUUUCUGGCCACACCUCUGAAGCCAGCAAAGACCAGUUGGGGUUUCCAGUCCUUUGCUUUUGUUAUAAAAAGUAUGUCAAUAUUUAUCUUUCAAAAGGAGAGAUAUGCCCUUUGCUGUUCCUGACAACUCUGUCUAUAUGGUCUCUUUUAAUGGCCACUUGCUCAGGUGAGGGGUAGGAACUGAUCCCUUAUCCCCAGUAGGCCUCACAGCUCAGAGCCUUUGGUUUCACAAACCCUGGAUGGCAUCUGCCUGUAUGUUUUACGUGUGUUUUGUUGGAAGGAGUACAGGAAAGUGUAUUGCUAGGCCACACAGAAGAGAGAGGAAGGAUCUAAAAAAAACCCCAAGAGUACCUUUGAACACCAGCUCUGGGAUCCUCUUGUCCUGUCCCCAUGAAGAUCAGUGUAGUGAGUGGUCAGGCCCACCUCUGCCCUGUGGGGGCCAUAGUGUCCUUUGUAUCAAAAAGAUUAUGCUAUAGGAAGUUGUGACCUCUGUGCAGCCUGUGUCCUUUGUCAUUUGGUUGGGGUGGAGGCAGGUGGCCACUGGCCUAAGGGAUAAAGCUUCACUCAUACAAUCAGGUCUGGCUUUCUUCUAAUUUUAUCCCCCUUGUUGCUGUCCCUUGACUGGACAUGUAGGGGACUCUGGUUCUUAGUGCUGCAGGUGACUGACCUUGCACAUACUACUUUGGGCUGGGACUCUGGCCACAUGGAAUUUUUAUUUGGAUCCGUAGUGCCAGAAGGUGCUCCAAAGAGGUGGCACUAGAUAACCUGCUCCACCCCCAUCUGGAUCAGGGCUCCCUUCUUCCCAUGCCUCACCAGCCAGGCCGAGACAGUACCAUGCCUCUGUCCCCUACAUGCUCAGAAAGUCAAGUCAGUGGUAUCCUGAUGAACCCCCACAGGGCCAGGUCUGUCUGUGUAGGGAAGGGCAGGCAUGACUGGAAAGAGCCCAAAUCAAGCUGUCCUCCCACCCCCUCACAAUAGCCCUGCCAGUUGGAUGCCUAGAAUAUUUUACAACUCGAGAGCAUGAAACAUGAAGAGGUUAAGUGCCCAAGCUUCCCCAGGUAUGUGUACAGGAGCUGGAACUUGAACCCUCAGCCACUCACUGUCAGGCUUCAUCAUGGUGGAUAUAGGGAGAUUUCAUCUUUCACACGGCUGCAAGCCCUGUGACCUCUCGAAGUAUCCUGGCUGACUGAACCUGACCUUUGGAAUAGAUAGAAUUUGCCAGUCUCUACCAGUUAUAAGGAAUUCUCCCACAAGCUUCCAGAGUGAGGCAUCUGUGGGUCAGGCCAAAUUUAGCUGUGUGGAGCUAGAAGGAUGGUCUGAAGCCGUGGAGAGAGUUCUGGAAAGGUUGGAUGCAGUCAAAAGCAAGGUCCAAGGGGGCCUGGGCACAGAACCAGCACACAGGGACGAGCUGAAGUGUUGUGUUCACUCUGAGUGAAACAAGAGCAUCGUUCCAAACGGUUACACGUUGCCCAGGCUUCGUUCUCUGCUCUUAAAUACCUUCCCAUUUCAUGGCUGUUCAGAGAGUAAUCAGCCAGCUUCCCACUUGGGCUCAGGAAGUUUGUCCAGGCGGCCCCUAAAUUAGCAGGGUCUGCCAGCUCCCCCUGUCUGAGGGUGGUGCUUCUCUUGUGUCAGAGCAGCCACCAGCAUGGCACAGAUGGACGCUCUCCUGUAAUGACAGCAGCCACAGAUCCAGCACUUCUCCAACUCAAGAACCCGGAAAAUCAAAAUCAGAGCACUGCACAGGAACAUCUAAGCCUCGAUGAGUUUGUAGCUUCCUUCCCACAACAGCCAUGCAUAUUUGGAAGAGUGCUGUAGGAUGAGAUUCAGUCUACAGGUGAAUAAAAGAUCUGUAGAAUCCACUCAUGCCAAGAAGUCCUGACAGAGUGGCUUGGCCAUGCAACACUUCUCUCCCCAGAAGACCAGUGUUCUGAAAUUUCAUGCCCAGUGCACCUGUUUCUACCUUCAGGAACCACUCUGUGUCCCCAGCCGGAAGCCCAGCUUGCAGCACAGCCCUCGGGGCUCCCAAAGACUGAAAUCUGGAACAGCCUUUCUGUUAUUUGGAGCCAUUUCCAGAAGUGGAAAUGAGAAGAGACCUUGGAAGGGUAGUUCAAGAAGUAACACCUCUGGUGGCUCCAGGUCUCUUCAAACAAUACCAGUUUCUGGUGGGGAACAAGGUUCAAUAGUAAAAUGGGAAGAACUUUCCAGAUCUGAGGGAGGCAUAGCCCAAUGUGUACCAUUCCCCUAGUACCUUGUUUCUGCUGAGGUACCAGUCCUCUUCUUGCUCCUAACCUACCUUGGCUCCCAGGCCCCUCCCAUCUAGAGCCCCCUGGGAUAUCAACCUCUGUCUGUUUCUUCCAGGUGCUCUGGCCUGCUAGGCCUCUUUACUUACCUGCGUGCUACUGCUGGCCUCCUGAGGCCUCUCUCCUGAGGACGAACCCAACCAAAAGCCCAGCCCCUCAAAAGCUGGGAUUUUUUUGUUUUGUUUUGUCUAGCUGACUUAAGCCUCAAGAGAUUGGUCUCAGCCUUCCUAGUGUGGGGACCCUUUAAUACCCUUCAUGUUGUGGCGUUUCCCUGCCAUAAAACUAUUUUCGUUGCUACUUUACAACUGUAAUUUUGUUACUGUUGUGAAUCGUAAUAUAAAUAUUUGUGGUUUCCAAUGGUCUUAGGUGACCCGUGACAGGGUCUUGACCCGCAUGUUGAGAACUAACUCCAUGGUUUUUGUGUCUGGGAUGGCUACCCAUUUCUCUGCUGACUGCUGCGGCUAACCACCUUCUCCUUAAAGAACGUUUCUCCUAAGACUCCCCCGAAUUGGGUUAGGAAAACUCUAGGAUAUUUGAGGGUCUCAGUCAGAUCCCGGAGUUGGUCCUGACUUGGCUGCCCAUCUGAUGCUCACCUCUUCUAAAGAGGGCAGAAUGAAGUUUAAGGUGGGUGGCCUUUCCGGGAGAAGAGCAACCACAACGGACGCGAACUUCCUGCGACCUCAUACUGAGGAAGGAAAGGGUCUGAAGAAGGCGAGUCAAAGUGGGUUUCUCCCUAGGGGGAGCCUAGGCAGACCAACAAGAGGGAGUAAACCGAUCUGGCAAGCUUCCUGUGUGCUCCUGGCACGUCCCCAGACCCUGGCUCAGGAAGGGGCUUGCUUUGAAGUUUCCGGCAAGACCUGCCCAUUGCUGUUCAAACGGCUUAUUUGUCUAGUGGCUUAAGGAAGGGGACUGGCGGUGGGGGUGGCAGCGCCUGGCUUGGCGCCGUUGCACCCUGAGGGUCCGUGCAUUUGGGAACUCCAGCUUCUGUGAACUAGAGGAUGUUGAGAUCAGGCCGAGAACCCCAGGGGGACUCGGUACUCCGGCCGGCUGUUUCAGGCUAGCGGGGAGCUGGAGCCGCCUCGCACCGCCACUCCGCGCAGGGUGGGAGGGAGCGAGGGAGGCGAGGGGACGAGCGCCGGCUCCCCGCCCCCAUCCCACCCGGUUCCGAUAUUUAGCUGAAAGGCACGCGGCUCCUAAUCGGCCCUUUCCAGGCUGAGAUGUAGCGGCGCUCUGCCCGCGCAAGGGCGGGGGCCGGGCCCGGGGAGGCGCAGAGUCCGGAGCCUGCGAGCGAGAUAACCAGCCCGAGUCAUGCAGUCUUUUCGAGAAAGGUGUGGUUUCCAUGGCAAACAGCAAAACUACCCACAGACCUCCCAGGAGACAUCGCGCCUGGAGAACUACAGGCAGCCGGGUCAGGCUGGGCUAAGCUGUGAUCGGCAGCGGCUGCUGGCCAAGGACUACUACAGCCCUCAGCCCUAUACAGGCUAUGAGGGUGGCACUGGUACACCUUCUGGCACGGUGGCCACAGCAGCUGCAGACAAGUACCACCGAGGCAGCAAAUCCCUGCAGGGGAGGCCAGCUUUCCCCAGCUAUGUUCAAGACAGCAGCCCCUACCCAGGGCGCUACUCUGGCGAGGAAGGUCUUCAGACCUGGGGGGGCCCACAGCCACCGCCUCCUCAGCCACAGCCUCUGCCCGGGGCAGUGAGCAAGUAUGAGGAGAACCUGAUGAAGAAGACAGUUGUGCCUCCUCCAAACAGGCAGUACCCUGAGCAGGGCCCCCAGCUUCCCUUCCGGACUCACAGCCUGCAUGUCCCACCACCACAGCCUCAGCAGCCCCUGGCUUACCCCAAACUCCAAAGGCAGAAACCACAGAACGACCUUGCCUCCCCUCUGCCCUUCCCCCAGGGCAGCCACUUUCCCCAGCAUUCCCAGUCCUUCCCUACCUCCUCCACUUAUGCCCCAACAGUGCAGGGUGGUGGGCAGGGGGCCCACUCCUACAAGAGCUGCACAGCACCAUCUGCCCAGCCUCAUGAUAGGCCGAUGAGUGCCAAUGCGAACCUGGCUCCAGGGCAACGGGUCCAGAAUCUUCACGCUUACCAGCCUGGCCGCCUUGGCUACGAGCAGCAGCAGCAAGCACUUCAAGGCCGUCACCACACCCAGGAAACACUCCACUACCAGAACCUCGCCAAGUACCAACACUAUGGACAGCAAGGCCAGGGCUACUGUCCACCGGACACAGCUGUCAGGACUCCAGAGCAGUAUUACCAGACUUUCAGCCCGAGCUCCAGCCACUCCCCUGCACGGUCUGUGGGUCGCUCCCCUUCCUAUAGCUCCACCCCGUCACCACUGAUGCCCAAUCUGGAGAACUUCCCCUAUAGCCAGCAGCCGCUUAGUACUGGGGCCUUCCCCACAGGCAUCACAGACCACAGCCACUUUAUGCCCCUGCUUAACCCGUCCCCAACAGAUGCUGCCAGCUCUGUGGACCCCCAGGCCGGCAACUGCAAGCCCCUGCAAAAGGAGAAGCUGCCUGACAACUUGCUCUCCGACCUCAGCCUGCAGAGCCUCACAGCGCUCACCUCCCAGGUGGAAAACAUCUCCAACACCGUGCAGCAGCUCUUGCUGUCCAAAGCUACCAUGCCACAGAAGAAAGGGGUCAAGAACCUCGUGUCCAGGACUCCAGAGCAGCACAAAAGCCAGCACUGUAGCCCUGAAGGCAGCGGCUACUCAGCUGAGCCAGCGGGCACACCGCUGUCUGAGCCGCCGAGCAGCACGCCACAGUCCACCCAUGCUGAGCCACAGGACACUGACUACCUGAGUGGCUCUGAGGACCCGCUAGAGCGCAGCUUCCUCUACUGCAGCCAGGCCCGGGGCAGCCCCGCCAGGGUCAACAGCAACUCCAAGGCUAAGCCCGAGUCUGUGUCCACCUGUUCUGUGACCUCACCUGAUGACAUGUCCACCAAGUCCGACGACUCUUUCCAGAGCCUGCACAGUACUCUGCCCCUGGACAGCUUCUCCAAAUUUGUGGCAGGCGAGCGGGACUGCCCGCGGCUGCUGCUCAGUGCCCUGGCACAGGAAGAUCUGGCCUCCGAGAUCCUGGGACUGCAGGAAGCCAUUGUUGAGAAGGCUGACAAGGCCUGGGCUGAGGCUUCCAGCCUGCCCAAGGACAAUGGCAAGCCACCCUUCUCACUGGAGAACCAUGGCGCCUGCCUGGACACUGUAGCAAAGACUUCAUGGUCACAGCCAGGGGAGCCAGAGACCCUCCCUGAGCCUUUGCAGCUGGACAAGGGUGGCAGCACCAAGGACUUCAGCCCGGGGCUGUUUGAAGACCCCUCUGUGGCCUUUGCCACCACUGACCCGAAGAAAACAAGCAGUCCCCUGUCCUUCGGCACCAAGCCUUUGCUAGGGACUGCCACUCCUGACCCCACCACAGCAGCAUUUGACUGCUUUCCAGAUACACCCACUGCCAGCUCGGUGGAUGGUGCCAACCCCUUUGCCUGGCCAGAGGAGAACCUGGGCGAUGCUUGUCCUCGUUGGGGCCUCCACCCUGGUGAGCUUACCAAGGGCUUGGAACAGGGUGCAAAAGCCUCGGACGGCGUGGGCAAGGCAGAUGCACACGAGGCCUCUGCUUGCAUGGGCUUCCAGGAGGAUCAUGCCAUCGGGAAGCCAGCAGCCGCACUGUCCGGGGACUUCAAACAGCAGGAGGCAGAGGGGGUGAAAGAGGAGGUGGGUGGGUUGCUGCAGUGCCCCGAGGUGGCCAAGGCCAACCAGUGGCUGGAGGAGAGCCGCCAUUGCUGUUCCUCCACUGACUUCGGGGACCUGCCACUGUUGCCGCCCCCUGGCAGGAAGGAGGACCUGGAAGCUGAAGAGGAGUACUCUUCUCUGUGUGAACUGCUGGGGAGCCCUGAGCAGAGGCCCAGCCUGCAGGACCCGUUGUCCCCAAAGGCCCCGCUGAUGUGCACCAAGGAGGAGGCAGAGGAGGCGCUGGACACCAAGGCUGGCUGGGUCUCUCCAUGUCACCUCUCUGGGGAGCCUGCUGUCCUACUGGGCCCCUCUGUGGGUGCCCAAUCAAAGGUUCAGAGCUGGUUUGAAUCUUCUCUGUCACACAUGAAGCCGGGAGAAGAAGGGCCAGAGAUGGAGAGGGCUCCAGGUAGUUCCGGCACCUCACAAGGCUCCUUGGCCCCGAAGCCUAACAAGCCUGCUGUACCUGAGGGGCCCAUUGCUAAGAAAGAGCCUGUGCCACGGGGUAAGAGCUUACGGAGCCGGCGAGUACACCGGGGGCUGCCUGAGGCGGAAGACUCUCCGUGCAGGGUGCCAGCACUUCCCAAAGACCUCUUGCUCCCAGAGUCUUGCACAGGGCCUCCACAGGGACAGGCCGAGGGGGCUGGAGCCCCAGGCCGGGGGCUGUCAGAAGGGCUCCCCAGAAUGUGUACCCGCUCGCUUACAGCUCUGAGUGAGCCCCAGACUCCUGGACCUCCGGGCCUGACUACCACCCCCACGCCUCCCGACAAACUGGGAGGUAAGCAGCGAGCUGCCUUCAAGUCUGGCAAGCGGGUCGGAAAACCAUCACCCAAGGCUGCAUCCAGCCCCAGCAACCCUGCUGCCCUGCCUGUUGCCUCAGACAGCAGCCCCAUGGGCUCCAAGACCAAGGAGCCAGACUCUCCCAGCAUGCCUGGCAAGGACCAGCGCUCCAUGGUCCUCCGGUCUCGCACCAAACCCCAGCAGGUCUUCCAUGCCAAACGGCGGCGGCCCUCGGAGAGCCGGAUCCCAGACUGCCGUGCCACCAAGAAGCUCCCUGCUAACAACCAUUUACCCACUGCGUACAAGGUCUCCAGUGGGCCCCAGAAGGAAGGUCGGAUGAACCAGCGGGUCAAAGUACCCAAGCCUGGUACAGGAAACAAGCUUUCAGAUCGGCCUCUCCACACGCUCAAGAGGAAGUCGGCUUUCAUGGCACCUGUCCCCGCCAAAAAACGGAGCCUCAUCCUGAGAAGCAACAAUGGAAGUGGGGGAGACGGGAGGGAGGAGAGGGCUGAGAGUUCCCCUGGCCUCUUACGGAGGAUGGCCUCACCCCAGAGGGCCAGACCCAGGGGUAGUGGGGAGCCACCCCCACCCCCACCCUUGGAGCCACCUGCUGCAUGCAUGGGGUUGUCUACACAGUCAUCCCUGCCCAGUGCUGUGAGGACCAAGGUGCUGCCACCGCGAAAGGGCCGCGGCCUCAAGCUGGAGGCCAUAGUACAGAAGAUCACCUCACCUGGGCUCAAGAAACUCGCAUGCAGAGUGGCAGGGGCCCCUCCUGGGACACCCCGGAGCCCAGCCCUGCCUGAGAGACGUCCAGGGGGCAGUCCAGCCGGGGCGGAAGAGGGUUUAGGAGGAAUGGGGCAAAUGCUACCAGCAGCUUCCGGAGCUGACCCAUUGUGCAGGAACCCAGCCAGCAGGUCCCUAAAAGGUAAACUCUUGAACAGUAAGAAGCUGUCCUCUGCUGCUGACUGCCCCAAAGCUGAGGCCUUCAUGUCCCCGGAGACCCUGCCAUCACUAGGGACUGCCCGAGCACCGAAGAAAAGGAGCCGGAAAGGCAGAACUGGGACCUUGGGACCCUCCAAAGGUCCGUUGGAGAAGCGGCCAUGUCCGGGCCAGCCUCUGCUCCUCGCUCCCCACGACAGGGCCAGCAGCACUCAGGGCGGAGGCGAGGACAACUCCAGUGGAGGAGGCAAGAAGCCAAAGACAGAGGAGCUGGGACCGGCCUCCCAGCCCCCUGAAGGCCGGCCCUGCCAGCCCCAGACAAGGGCGCAGAAGCAGCCGGGCCAAGCCAGCUACAGCAGCUAUUCCAAGCGGAAGCGCCUCAGCCGAGGCCGGGGGAAGACCGCCCACGCUUCACCCUGUAAGGGACGUGCCACUCGGAGAAGGCAGCAGCAGGUACUGCCCCUGGAUCCUGCAGAGCCUGAAAUCCGACUCAAAUACAUUUCCUCUUGCAAGAGGCUGCGGGCAGACAGCCGCACCCCAGCCUUCUCGCCCUUUGUGCGGGUGGAGAAGCGAGAUGCUUACACCACCAUAUGCACUGUCGUCAACUCCCCGGGGGAUGAGCCGAAGCCUCACUGGAAGCCAUCCUCCUCUGCUGCCUCCUCCUCCACCUCUUCCUCCUCCUUAGAACCAGCUGGGGCUUCUCUGACCACAUUCCCUGGAGGCUCUGUGCUGCAGCAGAGGCCCUCCCUGCCCCUCUCCUCCACCAUGCAUCUGGGGCCUGUGGUGUCCAAGGCCCUAAGUACCUCUUGCCUUGUCUGCUGCCUCUGCCAAAACCCGGCCAAUUUCAAGGACCUUGGGGACCUCUGUGGCCCCUACUACCCUGAACACUGCCUCCCCAAAAAGAAGCCAAAACUCAAGGAGAAGGCGCGGCUGGAGGGCACCUUGGAGGAGGCCUCUCUGCCUCUCGAGAGAACACUCAAAGGCCUGGAAUGUUCGGCCAGCACCACGGCUGCCGCCCCUACCACAGCCACUAUCACUACCCCCACGGCCCUGGGGAGACUGUCCAGGCCCGAUGGCCCAGCUGACCCUGCCAAGCAGGGCCCCCUGCGCACCAGUGCCCGGGGCCUGUCACGGCGGCUGCAGAGUUGCUAUUGCUGUGAUGGUCAGGGGGACGGGGGUGAGGAGGUGGCCCAGGCUGACAAGAGCCGCAAACAUGAAUGCAGCAAAGAGGCCCCUACAGAACCUGGUGGGGACACCCAGGAACACUGGGUCCAUGAGGCCUGUGCUGUGUGGACCAGCGGGGUGUACCUGGUGGCCGGGAAGCUCUUUGGGCUGCAGGAGGCCAUGAAGGUAGCUGUGGACAUGCCGUGUACCAGCUGUCACGAGCCCGGGGCGACCAUCUCGUGCUCCUAUAAAGGAUGUAUCCACACCUACCACUACCCAUGUGCCAAUGACACAGGUAAGAGCUGGCUUCAGGGGCCUGGGUACAACUAUUUCAACCCAGACCCCAUGUGCCUCCCAGGGCAUUCACCUGCCCCAGGAACUUUAUCUUGUUCUCUUCACCUCUGCCUGCAUUUGGCUGUGGAGAUGGGUGCGUCAGCCCCUACUUAGCUGAUGUUGAGGACUUCCAGAGCUGUCGGGACUCAAUGUGCAAAGUGAAGCAGGUCUCUGUGGUCUCUGACAGGUCCCUAUGGCCCACCCCAUUCUUACUUAUUCUCCGUGGGCCACAGGACUCAGAAGCCCAGCCUUAAUCCAUCUAGUGGGGACCUUAAUCACUUGUCUAUAAAGAAAGCAUCUCCUCACUGGGGAUGGCAACACCACUCUUGUCCAGGCUCAGCCCUGGUGGCUCUCCUUCCUGUGCCUGUCAUGCAGUCUUUGUACUUAGGCCCCAUCCACAGAGCUGGACUGUGAGCCGCUCUUCACUGGAGCAGCAGCAGGGUAAAUUAACACUGUCUAGAAGGUAUAGCGUCACCCUCCCUCCAUCCCACCCAGCUCUGGCCUGGUCCUCCCAGCCUGAGCAGUCGUCACUGCACUGCUCUUUCUGCUCUCUGGAUCCGGAGCCAGCGUCAGCCACAGCUAAUCAGUCUCAGGGGAGGACUGAGCUGCACCCACCAGAAGGGGACGGUGAUGGGUACCGGGCUGGGGUUAUCUUGGGCUCUGCCCCAUCAGCAUGGUGGCCUGUGUGGAAUGUGGACUUAACCCGAGUGCAUGGGCUCACUCCCCAUCCAGCUACCUCAGCCGAGGUCUGGGGUGUCUGUUCUCCCCCACUCCAGGCCAGUCCAGCUUCCCCAGGGCCUCAACCUGAAGGGGACUGAUUGCCAGGACCGCCAUGGCUGGUGACUUCUCCGUUGCUGUGAUAAAAUUCCAACAACAGCAACUUAGGGAAGGGAAGAUUUAUUUUGCCUCACAGUUCCAAGUCCCAAGUUAUCAUAGUAGGGAAAUCAUAGCAAAGGCACUUACGGGAGCCAGCCGCACUGCAUCAGUAAAGAAGCAGAGGAGCCAAGCAUGGUGGGACACUUUUAAUCCUAGCACUUGGGAGACAGAGGCAAGCAGAUGUCUUUUGAGUUUGAAGCCAACCUGUUCUACAUAGGAAGUUCCAGGCCUGCCAGGGCUAUAUAGCUCAGAUGGCCAGGCAGUUGAGAGCUCCCUCAGAGGUUUCAAGUUCAGUUCCCAGCACCCACACAAUGGUGGCCUACAAAUCCAGCUCCAGUGGAUCUGAUGCCCUCUUCUGGCUUCUAUGGGUACUGCAUUCAUGUAUACAAGUACAUACUCAGCCAUACAUAUACUUUAAAGAGUUCAAGGCCAGCAUGGUCUACAGAAUGAAUCUAGGCCAGCCAAGACUGCACCCCCUACCCCCAGAUAAUAACAAUAACUUUAAAAAAAGGUAGUAGCAAUGGAGAACAACAGAUCUCACUGCAAUUAACCUAAUCAAGAUCCUCCCUCAUGGGGCUGGAAGAGGUGGCUCAGCAGCCGGGAGCACUAGCUGCUCCUCAGGAGCACUUGGCUUUGAUUUUCAGUACUCACAUGGUGGCUUUAUAGUCAUCUGAAACUCCAGGUCCAGGGCAUCUGAUGUCCUUUUUUGGCCUCUGCUGACACUAGGCACACAUGGUAUAUAAACCUACAUUGUAGUCAAAACAACCAUAAAUGUAAAAUUUUUAAAAAGUUAAUCCCUUCACAGGCAUUCCCAGAGACCCAUUUUCCAGGUUAUUUUAAAUUCUUUCUAGCUGACAAUGAGCAGUACUCACAUCAGAUCGGGAGAUAGUGUGCUUAUAAAGAAAGCCAUUCUCUCUGAGCUGGAGGAACGUGGGGAAGAUUCCAGAUGGGCAACAUUGGAGCCAGGCCCCAAACAUCAGAUGCCUUAAGCCAUGCCUGGUUAGUUCAGGACUGCAGAGCAGGCCUUGAACACUCAACAGAAAUCUCAGACUCAAUAGAUCUGAGGCUGAGAGGGGCCUGGGGCGGUGAGACACCAGCCUGACAGGCUGAUGAGCCAGCAGUCCCAGCAGGGGAGGGUGGUUGUCUGGUAAAGGUGGAGCCAUACAUGCUAGAGACUGCAGGACAGAAUUCACAGGCCUUACAAUGGGAGAGCAGGCAUGGGGCGCCUGGUUUCCUCACUUUACAAUGUUGAUCUGGGCAGGGCUAGCAUGGGAAGAUUGGGCAUUUAUAGCUGGGUUAAGCUCCUGACCCUUCCAUACCCAGUUUGGUGGCUUCUUAGUACCUUCUGGGCCAGUGCUGUCUGCUUCAGGUGGUUGGCCUAGCACAUCCCCUGAUAGUAGCGGGGCCCUAACAAGGAACAAGGCUUGUAGCUUGUUUUUUGUUGGCCAAAGGUGGGUCACAUAAAGCUCCGGUUUGGAGGGUGGGUGGGGACUACAGAGCCAGGUAGCCGAGGGUAGGGCACGGUAGGAGGCAGUCUCUGCCAUUGGGCUCCUGACCUCAGCAUUGGGGCUUGAUGGGGGACUCUGAAUAGCUAUCAGGGAGGUGGAGCCCUGGGAAACAGCAGUCAUGGCAAAUGACAAGGUCAGAGUGCCUGGCCACGUGGCUAGGAGUACAGGAAUAAUAUACCACAUGGGCCAGCCACUCCUAGGUGUCCUCAGACUCCUAGGUUGCUAGAAAGGACUGGAAACCCCCUUUUGCCUCUCACAAGAGCAUAGCAGCUAUAGCACAGGAUCCAGUUUAAACAUCUGUAUUCAGUCCCAAAGCUACCCCCACCCCAGUUCCUGCUCUCAGCUGAGCUGACUGGGAAGUAGCAAGGCCCCACUGUUAGCAAGCACCCGUAGGUUAUAGCUAAACCUUGGUCCAGUGUAGGUGCAGUCCCAAACGUGUGUGCCUGCGUGCACCCACCCCCAGCAGUUGGCCCUAGAAGACAACCUCUCCUGCAGCUUUCUCAAGUGACAUCCACCUCCCUCCCCUCUGGGUGGAGAAGAGGGAAGGAAACAGGAAGUUCUGCACCAUCCCUAGUGUGAGAUGGGAGGCGAUGUCUGGGAAGGUGAGCCCCGAUCAGUAGCCGAGAAGGGAGCAAUGAUGGACCCAGGAGGCCUGUAGGUAGAGCGGACACCAGAGGACAAUGGCUAGGUUUUCUUAUGGCAGCUGGCAAGGACUCAUGAUAGCAGCACACUGCCCUGGGUAGGAAUAACAACUGGCUUGCUUAGCCAUCCUUUGUGGACAUCUGGGGGAUUCAUCUAGACCUGGACCUUGUAACCUCCUACUGCUGUCUCUUAAGAAUAAGCCCUUCCGUGUGGAACAUUUCCUCUGAACGUGAAGAAGGAUCAUGAGAGCACACAGUAGGUGACAUUGUGAUUGAUCUACAAUAUAGAGGCUGAGAUUCUGUAGCUGACAUUUCAGUCAAGACCUGAGACUCCACUCUGCAGUUGUCAGUCACCCAAGCAAUCAUGGGGUGCUUUCUGAGCAUGGACCUCUCCUGGCCACUGUGCAGGAGGUUGGGUCAGGAGUGGGCAUGUCUGAGAAUGAGUGUUCCUUCUCCUUUGGGGAGACCUGGGUAGGAGGGAGAUGGCCAGGUAGUGGUGGCCAGGGUGGGGGUGGGGCAGGGGGGGUGUCUAGGAGUGGAGGCCAGGAAGGGACAUAGCAGGGUAGAGGCAGAGGGGCUGCACCUCUGGGGGGAUUUGGACUAAUGAGGGUUCUGAGCAAGACCAGGGCAUCAGAACUAACACUGGCAGCCAGCCGGCUCUGCAUCACCACAGAAACUUUUCUUUGCUCACAGGUUGCACGUUCAUUGAGGAGAAUUUUACUUUGAAGUGCCCCAAACAUAAGAGGCUGCCGUUGUAAUCCCCGUGUGGCCGAAACUCCGAGGAAGAAGAGCUGCGCCCACAGCCGGUCCUUGAUCCCAUCCAGGGUCUAGGUUCCGGCUGCCUUGGGCGCUGGCGUGAGGCCUAGGUUGCGAAGAAAACCGGGGCCAGGCUUGGCGAAGGCAGGCCAGGGAGUGGCCAGACCCAGGGCACAAUGUCUCAGGCGGGGGGCAAGUCCCCUGCAAGUUCUGAAAAAGACGUGGCAUGCAAGCUGUGCCCCUGGGAAGAGGCUAGGCUGCUGGCUCAGUGGACGACGUGGGGCAGACCCAAGCCUUUCUUAGAGGCCCAGCGGCGGGGGACAUGGCUCAGCACUUGGCAUGGAUCUGCCCAAGAUCGUGGCAGCCUGGGCUCAGGCCAGUCUAUCCUUGAUGCGGGCUGGCCUGGGGUGGCGCCCUAUGGCUUCUGUUUGUCCCCUUUCCAGUCUUCCACCCCACUGUUGGAGCCCCGUCUGGAAGCCUGAGGAGACUGGGCCUGGCUACCCUCUAGCAGAUGUGCAGCUGUCCCAGACAAAACACCAACAUGGGAUUCAGGGACUGCCACUCAGCUCACUCGGCUCAUAGGCGGAGACAGUGCUAGAUUCGUGUACAAACCUGUGUACCCCUCUAUAUAUAUGUUACAUAGAAUGUAUAUAUGUUGGGAACAUGCUCGCUUCUGUGUGUCGCUGCUGUGCGUCGUGUGCUCCACAGCACAGAGCCCUAACCUGGCCUUGGCUGGGGUCGGGGCCAAAGUGAUGCCCCUUCCCCGAGCAACUACCACCAUCACCACCACCACGGCCAGCCCCCACCUGUCCGUUUGUGUCCUCAGCUCUGUCCACGCUUUAAUAGGCCUGAUGCAGCCCCUUCUCCCUGCAACGUUCUGUACAUAUGACUGUAAAAUGGUAAACGUGUGUAUUAUAUCUGGCCUCGUUAUAUAGUGUAUAUAUAUGUAUACAUAUACAUAUAUAUAAUAUAUAUGAAGACUGUAAAUGUUAAGACAACUAGUGUUCUUAUUAGUAUAUUGCUUCACACUGAAGAUUGUGUGUAUCGAGCUGUUUCUAAAAGAUGUUUAUUUUCCUUAAGAGUUAAAAAAAAAAAAAACAGUCAUUGCAUUCAGAAAAAAAAAAGUCAAUAAAGAUACCACGAUUGUUUUGGAA